AGUGAACGCUGGCGGUAGGCCUAACACAUGCAAGUCGAGCGGCAGCACCGUAAGAGCUUGCUCUUACGGGUGGCGAGUGGCGGACGGGUGCGGAAUACAUCGGAAUCUACUUUUACGUGGGGGAUAACGUCGGGAAACUUACGCUAAUACCGCAUACGACCUCCGGGUGAAAGCAGGGGAUCUUCGGACCUUGCGCGAUUGAAUGAGCCGAUGUCGGAUUAGCUAGUUGGCGGGGUAGAGGCACACCAAGGCGACGAUCCGUAGGUGGUCUGAGAGGAUGAUCAGCCACACUGGAACUGAGACACGGUACAGACUCCGACGGGAGGCAGCAGUGGGGAAUAUUGGACAAUGGGCGCAAGCCGGAUCCAGCCAUACCGCGGGAGGGAAGAAGGCCUUCGGGUGGUAAAGCCCUUUUGUUGGGAAAGAAAAGAAGCAGGUUAAUACCCCGCUGUUCUGACGGUACCCAAAGAAUAAGCACCGGCUAACUUCGUG
rnacentral:rRNA from 1 species